GUGUGUCCCUCCUGUCUCUGCCUUCUAGAUGCUGAGGUGACAGGUGUGUCCCUCCUGUCUCCGCCUUCUAGAUGCUGAGGUUACAGGGUCUUGAUAUGUAGCCCAGGCUGUCCUCCAAUUGGCAAUCUCUUGCCUACAUCUCAUGUUUUGGGGGACCACAGGGAGUCUCCUUGGGUCCUGUCACUCACAGCACAGUUGUGACUCAUCAGUUAUGUAGUUAUGCACAACUUCGAAUGGCAAAUGCCUCCUGUUUUAGAAAGUUCUGGAAACUACAGGAGGUAGGCCUAGCUGGAAGAAGUCAA